rnacentral:lncRNA from 1 species
GUUACAGUCUUUUGAAUUAGAAAUUAUAUUUACCAAAUUAUUUUCUAAAUGUAUUUAACUGUUUAGCAGGGAGAAUAAGGAAGAGUAAUCGCCCACCAAGGCUGAUGAUGCUGGAGGGACUAGAUUAGUCUGAGCUCCUUUUCCUCUUAGAUCAGCAUAUUCUGUGAUGUUGCCCGUGAUGUUCUGUGCCUGGGUAUCUGCUGAUAUGCUUCAAGUGACAGUAGAAUUCAAACCAAAAAUAUGAAUACAAUGUCCCACCUGAUUUUAAAGGAUUGGGUUUAGAGUGUGCAUCA